UUGCCAAUGAGGACAUGACAACUGUGCCAUCUGAAUUCUGGGAAACGGGUGAUGGAUGUGUUCACAGAUGAAGGGUG